rnacentral:misc_RNA from 1 species
GUGUGUGUGUGUGUGUGUGUGGCAUAGGAGAUGGGCCCUGAAGGCUAUACUGAACUUGAAGCUCAAUUUUGGGAUGUUAUUAAGACUUAUUCUUUUUGCAAGCCCCUUGUAGUCAUCAGUUCACUUGUGAUGUUUGCUCCUGCAUUGAUCUUCAAGAAUGUUCCAUGUUGAUUCCUUGUUCCUUUCUUCUCUUGAAUAUAUCAUUUUAUCUUACAGGCUCAUAAAUUGUGUGCCCAUGUUCUUCCUUAUGUUUAUUGCACAUCUUGUUCUUGGUUUUAAUGUAUAUUCCUUUCUGUGUUUUAAUUGAAUGCGCUCAUGUUGCUCCCUUAGUUUUGAUGACCCUAGGCAGUAAGAUACCAAAGAUCUUUCCUUCCCUCUUAGAAUAUGCCAACAUGGGAGAGUUUUGAGGAAGAAAAUUACAUUUCUUUACAUUCAAAGACUCUUGGCUUUUGUCGGGCAAUUUUGGUCUGCUAGUCAACUUUUCAUGGAUAGACAGGCUAUGAUAGACUUGAUAAAUUUGUCACCUUGUAUAAGUUUCACUCUUGGUUUUUGCCUGGUAAUUUUGGUCUGCUAGUCAAUUUUUCAUGGGUAGACAGGCUAUGAUAUGCUUGAUAAAUGUGUCACCUUGUAUAGGAUUCAUCUCUUUCUGCAUUGGUUGUGUUGUACAGGAGACAUCAUUUAUUCUUGUGAACCUUUUAUACAAGGGUUGCCAUUCCUUUGGCAUCCUUGAGUUGAAUUUUAGUAUUUUUCAUGUUCACUAUAUAAGAUAUUCCUUUUUAACAUUUCAAUUAAGUAAAAAAAAAAAAAAGAAAA